rnacentral:rRNA from 1 species
GACGAACGCUGGCGGCGUGCCUAAUACAUGCAAGUUGAGCGAUGAAGAUUGGUGCUUGCCCCAAUUUGAAGAGCAGCGAACGGGUGAGUAACGCGUGGGGAAUCUGCCUUUGAGCGGGGGACAACAUUUGGAAACGAAUGCUAAUACCGCAUAACAACUUUAAACAUAAGUUUUAAGUUUGAAAGAUGCAAUUGCAUCACUCAAAGAUGAUCCCGCGUUGUAUUAGCUAGUUGGUGAGGUAAAGGCUCACCAAGGCGAUGAUACAUAGCCGACCUGAGAGGGUGAUCGGCCACAUUGGGACUGAGACACGGCCCAAACUCCUACGGGAGGCAGCAGUAGGGAAUCUUCGGCAAUGGACGAAAGUCUGACCGAGCAACGCCGCGCGAGUGAAGAAGGUUUUCGGAUCGUAAAACUCUGUUGGUAGAGAAGAACGUUGGUGAGAGUGGAAAGCUCAUCAAGUGACGGUAACUACCCAGAAAGGGACGGCUAACUACGUG